GCGGGCGUGGCGGAAUGGCAGACGCGCCAGACUUAGGAUCUGGUACCGGAAGGUGUAAGAGUUCGAGUCUCUUCGUCCGCA
rnacentral:tRNA from 1 species